UACGUAGGGCGCAAGCGUUAUCCGGAAUUACUGGGCGUAAAGCGCACGCAGGCGGUUCGCCAAGUUUGGAGUGACAGUUGUCGGCUCAACCGACAAAGGACUUCAAAAACUGGUGAACUUGAGGACGAGAGAGGAACAUGGAACUCCAGGUGUAGUAGUGAAAUGCGUAGAUAUCUGGAAGAACACCAAUGGCGAAGGCAAUGUUCUGGCUCGUUUCUGACGCUCAGGUGCGAAAGCCAGGGAGCGAACGGG
rnacentral:rRNA from 1 species